AUGAGCUAUCAUGCUCUUCUUCUCAUGUUCAAUUUUUUUUUUUCAUGACAUCCUGUUUCAUAUAGUGAUUUUGCUAAAGCAACCAUUUUUAUGAGUUAGAUUCAUCUGGAAUACCAGGAUCUGUAAAGUUAGUUAGCUCAAAUUUUUUCUCUGAUCUGUUCUCUUAUUCAUCAUCAUCCAGUUCUGUUUUCCCUUCUCUUCAUCCACUGCACUACGGUUUCUUUGGAGAAAACUGUUUUGAUCUUCUUAAAAAGCGUUGCAACUAAAAAGAGCUUCCACUUUCGCCGGAGAUUCAAAGGAAUGGGCUUAUGCAGCUUCAUUCUACUCGUCAUAAAGGGAAUAUUCUUUCGACUGUAAUUCUAUUGAUUAAGCAAUUUUAUUGGUAUAUGGCUAGACAUCCGAUAAUUAUCGGACAGUACAGUUGGGGAUCGGCAUGCCUCGCACAUCUGUAUAGGGCGUUAUGCAGGGCAUCUCGUUUUGACUGUAAAGAGAUCAAUGGUCCGCUAACACUGCUGUUCGUUUGGGUUUGGAUCCGCCUGCCAUAUCUAGCAUUGGUUUCUAGGGAAUUCCGUAGUUGUUCGUUUGUAAACAGGUGGCGUAACUGGGAGCGUGGAGACUGACGCUUUAGGUAUCUUACGCUUGCUCACUUUAGAAAGGGUUUGGAUUAUCUUCAAGAAGACCAGUUUGUGUGGGUUGCUUAUGCUGUGGAUCGCGUGGAUCCGGAUAUAAUUGCUGCAGACAUCUACAUGCACUCGGUAGUUUGGAGGGCUACGGUGUCGUUGGUAUUUUUUGAAUGUAUUGAGUGGCAUGCAGCUGAUUGGUAUAGGCGACAAUUUGGUUUUGUUCAGGAGAAGUCCUGACUACUCUUAAGGAUCUUAAUUGGGCCACAGCCACGAAUCAUUUAUUUUGGGUGAUGCAGUGGACAAAUAGAUAUAUUCACGUUCUGACUGAGUUUGAUGGUCUACAACAUCUCCUAGAUAUUUAUAGGCUUUAGUUCCGUACAAAAUAUGACAACCAUUUGAAUUUGUCGGAUCUUGUGGUUUAAGAGAAUGAUGAGGGUGAUCAGAUUAUGGAUGAUAUGGUUUAAGAGAAUGAAGAGAAUGAAGAGCAGGAGCCACAGUCACUGCCACCUCCACCUUCACCUCUACCUCCACAAGAACAAUAUGUACCUCAAAUACAAUUUACCUCAUCAUACCAAAUACAUCAACAGUAUUGGAGUGUGCAAUAGUUUGACUCAGGAGAUGGAGGUUUUUUUAGUCAGUUGCUUGUGUUCAUGGCAACCGAUGUAGGCCAAUCACAAUAUGGUCAUCAGUCUGACAUCAUGGUAGGUAGGUAUUCUUUAGACGCGAGGCAUUCAUGCCGCACUUCUUCAUAUGCUUCUGGAGGGUUGGUAUCUGGUGACUCUAGUAGAAGUGGUGGUGGUCGAUGAGUUCUUAAUAGUCAAAACUCUAAUUGUGUUUCAACGAGUCUAAUUGAAGAAAAUGCUGAGACACUUGAGUAAAAGAUUGAUGAGUAUCUAGUAGAUAAACCAGAUGACAAGGAGGAGAAGGAGGAUGAAGAUGAGAACAUAGACGAGGAUGAAGAAUCCCGUAAUGAUGCACUUGUUGAUGGUGACGCACGCACUCCAGAUGAGACAAGUAAAGGGUACUAUCUCAGGGGUUGAUCUGCCUCGUCGUAGCGCUAAUCGAUUCACUACGUCUGUGUUCAAAAAAGUUGCUAAAAAAUGCAUGAAUCUUGUGAAAGAUGUAAAGUGGGUAAUGAGAAAGUAGAUGUUGUCUAGUUAACAUGUCUAUGUAUCAGUUAAUUUUUCUAUGUAUGAAUUAACUGUUCUAUGUAUCAAUUAUUAUGUAUCAAGUUAUAAUGUUUCAAAUGUCGUUAAUUUUUUUGGAUGGAUUGCAUAAUAUAUAAUUCUAA